UAGGUGUGGUAUCUCUGUGCAGCCUAGGUCUGUUACUGCUGCUUCUCUGUAGGUGUGGUAUCUCUGUGCAGCCUAGGUCUGUUACUGCUGCUUCUCUGUAGGUGUGGUAUCUCUGUGCAGCCUAGGUCUGUUACUGCUGCUUCUCUGUAGGUGUGGUAUCUCUGUGCAGCCUAGGCCUGUUACUGCUGCUUCUCUGUAGGUGUGGUAUCUCUGUGCAGUCUAGGUCUGUUACUGCUGCUUCUCUGUAGGUGUGGUAUCUCUGUGUAGUCUAGGUCUGUUACUGCUGCUUCUCUGUAGGUGUGGUAUCUCUGUGUAGCCUAGGUCUGUUACUGCUGCUUCUCUGUAGGUGUGGUAUCUCUGUGUAGCCUAGGUCUGUUACUGCUGCUUCUCUGUAGGUGUGGUAUCUCUGUGCAGCCUAGGCCUGUUACUGCUGCUUCUCUGUAGGUGUGGUAUCUCUGUGCAGCCUAGGCCUGUUACUGCUGCUUCUCUGUAGGUGUGGUAUCUCUGUGCAGCCUAGGUCUGUUACUGCUGCUUCUCUGUAGGUGUGGUAUCGUACUUUGACUGCAGUCCCACAGCUCUUUGUUUGACACAAGUUUAAGGACGGUGUUAUGAGAAAAAUGAACUGUCUAAUUCAUCAUACAGCACCGCAGAACUUUACAAUUUCACAAAUGAUAAAGAGCCGUACACAAAGAAAGAAAAAUGUGUUUAAUUCACAGUCAUACGUGAAUGUGAGGUUUUGUGGGUAAAGUAGUCCUAUGCUUUAGUAGCCAUGCAUACAGAGUUCAUAGCAGUUCCAGUAUGAACGGGGAAGCUGCAGCAACGUGCAUGUAAUCAAAAGGAAUGAUGAUCUCAUGGUCUGUCAUUUGUCUUCUCUCCACCAGUAGCAGGCUAAACAUUAGGAGUGUAGUUACAGAAUAGGUCUAAGUUUGUUGACAGGUGUGUGUAUUUCUGUAUUCAGGGGAGACAUCUCUUGAAUGAAUCAUUUAAACAAGAAU